GAUAAACGCUGGCGGCGUGCAUAACACAUUCAAGUCGAACGGAACAAUAAAGAGCUUGCUUUUUGGUUGUUUAGUGGCGGACGGGUGAGUAAUACAUGAGCAACCUGCCUUAAAGAGGGGGAUAACACCUGGAAACGGGUGCUAAUACCGCGUAAAUCAAGUAGAUGGCAUCAUUUACUUGUGAAAGGAGCAAUCCGCUUUAAGAUGGGCUCAUGUCUGAUUAGAUAGUUGGUAGGGUAAUGGCCUACCAAGUCUGCGAUCAGUAGCCGGACUGAGAGGUUGACCGGCCACAUUGGAACUGAGAUACGGUCCAGACUCCUACGGGAGGCAGCAGUGGGGAAUAUUGGGCAAUGGGCGAAAGCCUGACCCAGCGACGCCGCGUGAGGGAAGAAGGUCUUCGGAUUGUAAACCUUUGUCAACAGGGACGAAAGAAAUGACGGUACCUGUGAAGGAAGCCACGGCUAACUACGUG
rnacentral:rRNA from 1 species